rnacentral:rRNA from 1 species
AUACAGGGUGACAGCCCCGUACACAAAAAUGCACAUGCUGUGAGCUCGAUGAGUAGGGCGGGACACGUGGUAUCCUGUCUGAAUAUGGGGGGACCAUCCUCCAAGGCUAAAUACUCCUGACUGACCGAUAGUGAACCAGUACCGUGAGGGAAAGGCGAAAAGAACCCCGGCGAGGGGAGUGAAAAAGAACCUGAAACCGUGUACGUACAAGCAGUGGGAGCACGCUUCGGCGUGUGACUGCGUACCUUUUGUAUAAUGGGUCAGCGACUUAUAUUCUGUAGCAAGGUUAACCGAAUAGGGGAGCCGAAGGGAAACCGAGUCUUAACUGGGCGUUAAGUUGCAGGGUAUAGACCCGAAACCCGGUGAUCUAGCCAUGGGCAGGUUGAAGGUUGGGUAACACUAACUGGAGGACCGAACCGACUAAUGUUGAAAAAUUAGCGGAUGACUUGUGGCUGGGGGUGAAAGGCCAAUCAAACCGGGAGAUAGCUGGUUCUCCCCGAAAGCUAUUUAGGUAGCGCCUCGUGAAUUCAUCUCCGGGGGUAGAGCACUGUUUCGGCAAGGGGGUCAUCCCGACUUACCAACCCGAUGCAAACUGCGAAUACCGGAGAAUGUUAUCACGGGAGACACACGGCGGGUGCUAACGUCCGUCGUGAAGAGGGAAACAACCCAGACCGCCAGCUAAGGUCCCAAAGUCAUGGUUAAGUGGGAAACGAUGUGGGAAGGCCCAGACAGCCAGGAUGUUGGCUUAGAAGCAGCCAUCAUUUAAAGAAAGCGUAAUAGCUCACUGGUCGAGUCGGCCUGCGCGGAAGAUGUAACGGGGCUAAACCAUGCACCGAAGCUGCGGCAGCGACACUAUGUGUUGUUGGGUAGGGGAGCGUUCUGUAAGCCUGUGAAGGUGUACUGUGAGGUAUGCUGGAGGUAUCAGAAGUGCGAAUGCUGACAUAAGUAACGAUAAAGCGGGUGAAAAGCCCGCUCGCCGGAAGACCAAGGGUUCCUGUCCAACGUUAAUCGGGGCAGGGUGAGUCGACCCCUAAGGCGAGGCCGAAAGGCGUAGUCGAUGGGAAACAGGUUAAUAUUCCUGUACUUGGUGUUACUGCGAAGGGGGGACGGAGAAGGCUAUGUUGGCCGGGCGACGGUUGUCCCGGUUUAAGCGUGUAGGCUGGUUUUCCAGGCAAAUCCGGAAAAUCAAGGCUGAGGCGUGAUGACGAGGCACUACGGUGCUGAAGCAACAAAUGCCCUGCUUCCAGGAAAAGCCUCUAAGCAUCAGGUAACAUCAAAUCGUACCCCAAACCGACACAGGUGGUCAGGUAGAGAAUACCAAGGCGCUUGAGAGAACUCGGGUGAAGGAACUAGGCAAAAUGGUGCCGUAACUUCGGGAGAAGGCACGCUGAUAUGUAGGUGAAGCGACUUGCUCGUGGAGCUGAAAUCAGUCGAAGAUACCAGCUGGCUGCAACUGUUUAUUAAAAACACAGCACUGUGCAAACACGAAAGUGGACGUAUACGGUGUGACGCCUGCCCGGUGCCGGAA